GGCAAGAGGGGUCAUUUUUGUCUUGUUCCUCAUCUUAUAGGAAAAGCUUUUAGCUUUUCAUCAUUGAGUAUGAUGUUAGCUAUGAGCUUGCCAUAUAUGGCCUUUAUGAUGCUGCAUUACCUUCCUUCUAUGACUAACUUGUUGAGAGUUUUUAUCAUGAAAAGAUGUUUAAUUUUGUCAAAUAUUUUCCCACAUUUAUUGAGAUUAAAAUAUGAUUUUUAUCCUUCAUUCUAUUAAUGUGGUAUAUAACAUGUAUUGAUUUGUUUAUGUUAAACUAUCCUUGCAUCCCAGGGGUAAAUCCCAAUUGAUCAUGGUGUAUGAAUUUCUUAAUACACUGUUGAAUUCAAUUUGCUACUAUGUUGUUGAGGAUUUUUGCAUCUAUGUUCACCAGGCAUAUUGAUUUAUAAUUUUCUUUUCUUAUAGUGCCUUGCCUGGCUUUAGCGGCAAGAUAAUACUGAGAUCUUGUAAAAUGAGGAAGUGUUUAGAAGUGUUUAUUUCACCUCAAUUUUUGAAAAGACUUUGAGAAGAAUUGGUAUUAAUUCUUCUUUAAAUGGUAGAAUUCACAAAUGAAGUCAUCAGGUCCUGGGCUUAUCUUUGUUGGGAGAUUUUAAAUGAUUGAUUUAAUAUCCUUACUCCUCUUGGUCUGCUCAGAUUCCCUGUUUCUUCAUGAUUCAGUCUUAGGUUGUAUGUUCCUACAAGUUAUCCAAUUUUUUUCUAGGUUAUUCAAUUUGUUCAUGUAUAAUUGUUCAUAGUUGUCUUUUAUGAUCCUUUGCAUUUUUGUCAUAUCAAUUGCAAGGUCUCCACUUUCAUUUUUUAUUUUAUUUGAAUCUUUUUUCUUCCUAUCUUAGCCUGGCUAAAGGUUAAUCAAUUUUUUAUCUUAAAAACAAAAACAAACUCUUAGUUUCAUUGAUCUAUUUUUUUUCUAGUUUCUACUUCAUUUACUUCUAUUCUGAUCUUUUUUAUUUGCCUUUGACUUUGUUCUUUUUUUCUAGUUAGAUGAAGUGUGAAGUUAUGCUGUUUCUUUGAUACCAUUUUUCCUUAUGUAGGCAUUUAUCACUGCAAACUUGCCUCUUUGAACAGUUUUUGCUAUGUCCCAUAAGUUUUGGUAUACUGUGUUUUUAUUUUUGUUUUCUUUCAUGGUUUUUUUAAAUUUAUCUUUUGAUUUUUUUCUUUGACUCAUUGGUUGUUCAAGAGUGUGUUUAAUUUCCACAUAUUUGUGAGUUUUCAGAUUUCCUCCUCACUGGUUGCUAAUUUCAUAUCACUCUGUUCAGAGAAAAUAUUUGAGAUAAUUUCAAUUUUCUUAAAUUGUUAAGAAAGCUUCUACCAACUACUCAGCUGUGCUGAUCACCUUAGUAAUCUGGUUGAGGUGAGAAAAGAGCAGGCUCCUCGGGCAACAUCUCACGUAAUUGGGGGAAUCAGGUGCUCACUCACCAUACUUUCACUUUCCCUGUGGGAGACAUUAUGGCCUGAGGGAGUUUCUCUUGGCACUGAGUUGUACCACCUUGGGAGAGGAGUUAUGCAGGUAAAGUGAAACUGUUCUUCUUACCUUCUUUGAUGCAUCUAUUCCCAGAUUUUUAUUUUUUAUUUAUUUAUUUUUGCUCUAACAGUGUGCUGGAACUUCUCUACUAGACUCCUGGACUCCCAUAAAGGUACUGUCAUCCCUGGGCAGUUGCCAAAUUGAUGAUGCUUCUAGAGAGGAUGGACAUUGGGGACCUUGCAGCUGAUCCAUUGUCUAGGAAGAGCCAUUAGCAUGACAUCUGAAGUCAGCCAACUUCAUCUGGAGGGAAAGAAUGCUCAAACCUUGAAAGCAUCCUGGCCUGGAAUUGUGGAAAACAGAAUGAGGCGAGCAUGCAGCAAGAAGACAGCUAUCUAUAAACCAGGAAAUGGGCUCUCACCAGACAUGGAAUCUGGUGGUACCUCGAUGUUGGACUUCUCAGCUUCCAGAACUGUGAGAAAUGAAUGUGUUUGUUUUUUAUUUUUUGCUUUUUGGCCACACCCUCGGCAUAUGGAAGUCUCCAGGCCAGGAAUUGAAUCUGAGCUGCAGCUCUGACUUACACCACAGCUGUGGCAACAUCAUAUCCUUAACCCACUGUGUCAGAUUGGGGAUUGAACCCAUCCCUCAUCAAUGACCCGAGUGGCUGCAGAGGCAACACUGGAUCCUUAACCUACUGUGCCACAGUGGGAACUCCUUUUUUUUUUUUUCCAAAUAAACGUUUUUUAUGUAAGCCACCCCACCCAGUUUAUGGUAUUUUUGUAAUAGCAGCCUGAAUGGACUGACAUGGAAGUUGUUGUUUGAUGGGUUAGAGUUUCAAUUUUGUAAGAUGGAAAGAAUUCUGGAGAUUGGUUCCCCAACAAUGUGAAUAUACAUAACACUACUUAACUGUAUAUGUUAAAAUGGUUAAAAUGGUAACUUUUAUGUUAUGUGUAUUUUGACACAAUUUAAAAAAAAUUAACAGAUGAGACUGCAUUUUUCUUUGGCUGCACUCACAGCAUGCAAAAUUUCCUGGGCCAGGGACUGAACCCACACCAUAGCAGUAACCUGAGCCACAGCAAUGACAACGCUGGAUCCUUAACCUGAUGAGCUACUGGGGAACUCCAAAAUUGCAUAUUUUAUAUUGGUGCAAUUUACUGUCUUUCAGUUAUACCUCAAUAAAAUGGUCUUUAAAAAAUAAAGAAAAAGCAACACCACCAGGUGGGUUGGCGGGGAUGAGGCCAUUGUGCCUGCAUGGUCAGAGACGGCUGCAGAGCUCCACGGAGCACCUGGACCAGAUGGCUGUGGCUGGACACAUGAAGUAUGUACCGUGAGGUAUUCAACACUAGCAUUCUGUUACAUAUAAUGUCUUUCUGUUCUUGAAUCCACUUCUAAUGAUUUCAUGACUUCAGGUCCUCAUUUUCUCUUAUUUAUAUUUUUCCAAUAACUCCCUAAAUUGCUUUCCCAGCUACACAGGCACAUCACUGGAUGUGGUGAAUGGUGACCUUUGAAAGUGCAAUUUCAGUAGAAAAGAUAGGAUAUAGAUUAUAAGUCAUAAUAAUCAUCACUAAAAUUUAUUACGCUAUAUUCUUAGUUGUCUCUUUUUAUAUAACCCUAAUAAGAAUCCUAUAAAAUUAUACACACUUCACAGAUUAAGAGUCAGAUGUUGAGAGUAGUUAGCAAUUCAUCCACAGUCCCUAGUCUUGUGCCAGACAGGGUCCUAGCAGAAGGCAGAAUUUCACUCAGAUGCUCAAAUUAAAGAUAUUAUAAUGAAUGGGCCAAUUUCAGGGAUUGUGGGCUGGGUUAAGGAAACCAAGAAGAAGUGUCAAGUCAUCCAAAGUCUAAAAAAUGAAAAGCCAUUUCUAUUUCUAUAUGUGAAGGGGCCAAGGGAGGUAACAGACUGGGUGAAAAUUGGAUGGUUAUAGGAUUCAGACCAUACGACAAUGUUUGCGAACUGAAGGGAAGAAAGUAUUAGAAAGGGAGAGGUUGGAAAAGGGAGAGCUAAGAGAGCAGGAGGAAGCAGGAAUGGGUGAGGUCAAGAGCACAAGGGGAGGUAGCACUGGAGACAGGAGAGAACCUAGCCUCCUGGCAGAGCCGGGAAAAGACGGAGAGAGGAGUGAAGGGAGCAUUGUUGUUUGAAUGUAAAGUAGCUGCAGGUAUCAUCUGGGAGGAAGGAGCCUGGGAUUCUGUAGGAACCAGAGAAGAGCCUACGUAACAGCUGUUGUGGGAAUUUGACAGAAACUCAACUAGGGAUGGAAAAAUAAUUACAACAUGGUGCUGUGGGCCACACAAAUGCCUGCAUAACCCAGAUCUGCAACAUGCUCUGCAGCAUUGUCACAGAGCAAAUAUAACAUAUCAACUUUUACCCUUUCCUAAAGAAAAUGGAAUUGAAAUGGUUACCAAACCAUCUAAGAGACAUUUACUUCUAGAAUUAUGGCUACUAGCACUCUGUAUUAAUCACUGCGUGUGUGUGUGUGUGUGUGUGUGUGUGUGUGUGUGUGUGUGUGUG